ensembl:lncRNA
CAAACUCUUCCAUUGUAUAUAGCUCUGUGUUGCUGAAUCUACCUAAACUGAUAAUUAUAGCUGUGAAUCACCAUGGCAGAAGCUGACAUUAUGUUUGUGAAUUACAUUAGCAAGAGGCUGGAUAUACAUGGAGAAAAACAGGAGGCCUAAGACAGGACCUUAUGGGACUCCAGAUAACAUUUGAACAAUCUCCAUUAAAGUAAUAAUAAUAAUAAUAAUAAUAAUAAUAAUAAUCAUCAUCAUCAUCAUUAUCAUAACAACUGAUAAUGUGUAUGUGUCAUGAUUCCCCCUUGAAGCAGCGUGCUCUAAGCGCGAAUGCGCGAGCACCUGCUUUUCCGUUGUUGACCGUAAUGACAUCUGGACACGUGUGUUUUGGUUAUGUUUCUGUCAUCUCCCCCCUGUUUUGUCAUUGGCUGGGAUUUCACGUGGGUCUGUAUUGCUCUCAGCUGCUAGCGGUUUAGACGCUGAUCAUGUCCGCAUAUAUACCGCACGCCUCCCAGCACACAAGGCGGAAGAUUACUAUAGAGUUAGUUUAGUUCGUAUCGUAGUCAUAGUCAUAGUCAUAGUCACGGUCCAUGUUUAGAGUUAGUUUAGUUCGUAUCGUAGUCAUAGUCACGGUCCAUGUUUAGAGUUAGUUCGCGCUGGAUUAUCUGCUUCCAGUCCCUCGUCAUAGUUCGUUUCUCGUUUUGUUUACCGACCCUGUUUUCCAUGACCACGACCUAGAUUCCUGCCUUGCCCCGUGUAUGCCUGUUUGCCAAUGGCCUGACCUCUUGCAUGUUAUGGAUUACGUUUUGGAUCACGUAUUGGAUUUGUCUGCCUGUCUCUCUUUCAAAUAAACAACUGUUCAUCCUGCACUUGCAUCCGUCCUAUCUCUGCUCCGUCACGAUCCGUGAUAGUAUGUGCCUAAAUUAAACAAAUAUAGUCGUGUUAAACAAUCUACAAUCUUUGACUAUUUAACUGUAAAUAUGCAACAUUUGUGUAGCACUUUGUAAAAUCUAAAUGUGUACUCAUUUCACGCAGUGAUUAAUUAAUUCCAUGUGUAUUGAAAAUUAACAUAGAUAGCAAAAAAUGGUAGCUAUGUUUGAUGUUUGGCUGUAUAUGGUUUUACAGUACAGUAAUUACUCAGAUUUAAUGGUAAUUGUAAGUCUGUAAUGGUGCAUACUGGAUAAGUUGGAAAUGUAAGUUAUAAUAGUAGCUAAAAUGAAAAACAAAAAAACCUGGUAUGAUACAACACUUAAAGCUUAAAGUCCAUUUGUUGCCUGUUUAUAUACAAGAAUAUACAUAACUCUAGUUACCAAUGAGUCAUCAUUUACCAUUAAUACAGAUUCCUUGUAUUGCUCUCUCUCUCUUUCUCACUCUCUCACUCACACACAUUGUCACUCUCUUUGCAUGCACCUUUAUUCGUUCUAUGGUCAUGAGCUAUUGGUGUUUACUGCAAUAGCCACAAUCUAAAGAAUCUAUUAUCCUUAUUACGUGGAGUGUUUUAGAGGGUUCAGGACCCUAUAAUUCCAGACUGUGUGUUUCCAUCACUGCUGAAUGAAUAAUGCAUCAGGAUCCACUCAGCUAAUCUGGCAGGGUUGAGUACAGGUAAUCAGUGCAGGACAAAACAUAGCAGGAAACCACUCGCUGACCCUUUCUGCCCAGCACAACCACUACAUAAUAAAGUGAAUAGUGAAAGCACUGUUGGAACAACAAGUCCUUUAUGCCAGUAAGAGAACAUAGGUUUGCCCAUCAGUGUAUAGUUGUGCUAUCAUUUGCCAAUUUCAAGCACAUUUCACAUUUUCCCACAUGUUUAGGAAUACACACGAAUAAUUUGGUGUAUUAAAUAUAUCUUAAUGUGUCAUUUCUACAAGUCGCUAAACAGACGGAUGUCACUGAGGCUGAGAUGCCUGUACCAUGUCAGAUAUAGAUGCAGCCUUGUUAUUUUCAGCUGAAACUGGUUUUAGGCUAAGCUCACUCACUCAUGUGAAGUGUUUGCUAAUCAGUGAAUCAGUGUAACUUCACCAAUACCCAUCUUAUCACCUCAUUAAACAUGUACAAUUUUAAAACUUACAAGGUUUUAAAGAUGGCCUAACUACACAAAAACUCAUCAUGGGAAGACAGAUAAAUCUUUUGGCAGAAGACUUUCUUAUCUUUUUUCCCCCAGUGAAACUAUAGUGUUAAUAGUAUCAUAAUUAUUAGGGAUGGUGGAACUCAGUGGAUUCAUUCUCAUAUUUUUUUUUCUUUCAAUGUUCCUGUAAUAUAUCUGCUUCUGUGAGAUUGCAAUUAAGUAAUUCCCUCAGCUGUUAGCUGGACCUGAAUAAAUAUUACUGUGUAAUACUGUGCAAAAUGCAUUAUUCAGUAAGACAAAGCUGAUGUUGGACAUUUAUAAUUCAGCUCCAGCUCUUUCUGGUCAUAUUUUAUCCUUGUUAACAGCAAAGCAAGACUGUCCAAACUAAGUCUGAAAGUGAAACCAUUUGUCUGCUAAGCCAUUAAUGAGCUCAUUUCAGCAGAGUGUUUACUAAAAUCUCACAAUAAAUAAGAUAUUAAUUCCCUCUAGUCUGCAUUGACAUCCUCAGCAUCUUUACCACAUCCAUCACCAUCAUUCCAUUCAUCAAAUCUCUAAAUAGCCAGUGGCAUCAUUGGCUUAUAAUGGCAUGAUAAUGUACUAUACAGUAUGCCUUGUCAGAAAUGCCAGUCAGUACACCAUAAGCAAAGGUGGACAACUACUACUACUAGUCUGGGUACCAGGGACAAGCGUAUAAUGUCAGCGCUAUUAGUAAUUUUAUUCAUAGUUUCACUUUAUUGAAAGGAGAAGAAACUCUACUUUAGACACUAGUUUAGUGUGGGGGGAACAGUGGCUUAGUGGUUAGCACGUUUGUUCACAUCUCAAGGGUUGGGGGUUUGAUUCCUGCUUCCGUCCUGUGUGCGUGGAGUUUGAACGAUCUCCCUGUGCUUUGGGUUUUCCUCCUUGUACUCCAGUUUCCUCUCCCAGUCCAAAGACAUAAAUGUUGUAGGCUGAUUGGCAAAUCCAAAUUGUCCGUAGUGUGUGAAUGUGUGUGAGAUUGUGCCCUGUGAAAGUUUGUCCAGGGUGUACCCUGCCUUGUGCCCGAUGCUCAAUGGAAUAGGCUCCAGGUUCCCCGUGACCCUGAAGAAUAAGCUGUAUAGAAAAUGGAUGGAUGAAUGACUGGUGUGUUUUUAAACUAUUUUAGAACAAAUUCACAAGUUCCUCAUCUUGCAUUUCCAAGAAUGGUACGUGCUGCUCUUGUGUCAUUUUGUUUUGAGGCCUGUCAUGUACUUUGUUUAUGUUUGUUACUUGUUAUGACUUGCUUUUAUUUUGGUUUUGGUCCUGUCUUUGCCUCCAUCUUGUCAGUGGUGUAAUUGUGUCCUCGUGUUCUGUGUUAAACCUUUGAUUAAUUUAACCAUAUCCGGAUAGGAUUAAAUUUAUAUGGGGUCGUGCUCCUCUGUGACUUUAUUACUGUCCAGAUGAGACAUGUUGGUGCUUUUCUCCGUUCUCUUCUGAGAAAAUUACAGGCUGAAUUGCCUACUGUUUUUUUUUCCAAACUCAGUGAUCAUCUGAUAAUUUUAGUCCCGUCUGGAUAUACAUGCCCGUGAUUUUUCUAUGCAGUUGUGUUGUGUGUCUACGCCUUGUAUUGAAAAAAGUUGUCUAACUGCUGCUACUUACCAUAUUUAGGGCGUGUAUCAGUGACACUCUCCUAGGUAUUAAACACUUCCUGGAUGCUUCUCAUAUACUUUGUGAUUAUUAUUUUACUGUAUUUCAAAUUGUAUACUCCAGUUUCUCUACAAACGCUUGGACACCAUGUUGUGAACAGAACGUGAUCAUAUGACCAUGUGACACAAAUAUCCGGGUUCGUAGAGAACACAACCCGCUAGAAACUCAGUGCUCCUGUGGUAAUAAUUAUAAUAAAAACAGCAGCACAAAUCUGACAUAUACCGUAAUUUUCCUGCUAGCACAACAUGUCAUUUUGUGCUUUUUUUUUUUUACAGAAAACUACUUGAAUUGGAAAAAUUGCAGUUGCAAGAAAUUGUUUUGCACAGUCUUUUACUGUGAUUUUUGUUGGUAAAUGAGACCUUUUAGCUGUACUCAUGUUCAACACGCAUGAAUCGAAGAAGGCUUUGGCUGAAUGCACAUUGUGAUGAUGUCACACGACAUGUCUUGGACAAAUCUUCAGAAAAUCUGCAGUAAUUUAGAAAAAAAUUGCAAGUUCCUCCAAAUAAUUCGGACUAAUUGCAUUAAUUUCUGCGACUGCAAAAUCGCGAAAUCCUGGAGGGACUGCUUAGGAGGUUUUGUUAGCUCGUAAUAAUCAGAUAUUUGUUUGUUUCAAGUUCAAGUUCUUAUGUGAAAUUCUUAAUUGCAAGUACACGAAUUGUACAAUUAUUAUAUCACAAAGACAAGGCACAUAAGACACCUGAGGCACAUAAGACACAAGACAUAAGACAUAAGACUUAAAGUGCACAAUAGUGCAAAGAUAAUACAGUGCAGGGAGAAACAAAAACAACAAAUAUCUCAGCACAGAAUGCACAUUGUAAUAAGUGCUAUACACAUUAUGUAUAUGAGUGUCCUGAUUUGGUGUGUGUGUGUGUGUGUGUGCGUGUCUGUGAUGUACGUGCUGUUGUAAUGAAUGAUAUGUUGUUUAGUCCAUGUCCUCAUAGGAAUAGCUGGGUGUGAGUGUGUGUGUCCAUGAAACGGAGAUCAAAGAGAUUAUGCCUGAACUGCGGUCCCAUUCAGAGCACUAAUCACUUGUGAAAAAUAGCUCCUCUGGAAACGCCCCAUAUUGGUUUUUAUGCUGCGGUAGCAUUCGCCUGAGUGCAGUAGUGAGACCAGGCUAUGGUUAGAGUGACUGGAGUUUUUUUUUUUUCCCCCUUUUUCUGUGUUAAUGCAUAAUGCCAUACAUUAUUAGAUUACUUUAGCUACCACUUUUUAGUCUUGUUAGUUUCCAGGCAACCAAAACAUAGGCUUAGGCAGCACUGAGUUUUUAAACUUAUGAUUCAUCCACCCCUGAUAAGGUGAAUAUUGAAAGCUUAUAUGAAGUAACCGAUUAUUUGUAUUCAGAGGUAUGGUAGGAGCUUUGCACUGCCAGAGCAUCAGUCAUACUGAGCUGAAAGCACAAAAGUGUGUUACUUCCUCACAGCUUUAUGGCUUUCAGAUGGCUCAUUUGCACUCAUGAUACAGUAUGUAAAUUCACUUUGAUUUAAUGGAAUGAAAUCAAGCUGUGUCAUUAUGUUUAUAUCAAGAGACUAGCGUGUGAGCCUUUCCACCAGCCUCAAAGCUGUGCAGAUUUGCCUUUGUAAAAUUUUGUUUGUGCAGUAGAUUUUAUAGGAUAUUCUCAGAGGUAGUCAUUCUUAUUACUUUCUAGGUGAGCAGGCAUAACGUGCACACAAUUUAUUCCACGAGGAGCACAAGGCUUAAAAUGUGUUCGAGCUAUCCGAAUGAGUGGUUCUACAUCUUGGUUUUCUUGAAUUUUGUCUUUUUAUUUAUUAAUUCUCCUUUGUGUUUGGUGGAAACAUGAACAAGUCUCUCUGCAUACACAUUCUAAGUCUGUGUAAAAGGCCUCACUUUUGAGGCAGAUAGACACGAAGUAAACUUAGUUUAGCAGAAAGUAGUAACUGAACUUAGUUAAGCAGAAAGUAGUAACUAAUGUACAGUACAGUGCAAUUAUUAAAAGAUGUUAUUUUAAACCCAUGCAAAUUUGUAUAGCCUAUAUUCAUUGAGAACUUAAGGUAAGAUUGUCGAGUCAGAUAAGUAGUAGAAAGAAAGACGAGACCAGGUAGCCACACACAACUAUGUUUAAUGCAACUGCAUCAUUCCAUUACAUGUGCUCAAAUGCGUAUCCAAUCGUAUCACAAUUCAAAUCACUUCCGGAACGUAGCCCCUAAGCAAUAGGACUUCAUAAUAGUAGUCACAAUUAUUAUGAGCACAACAUUUUACAGAUUUUAAUUUUUUUUUUGACCAGCCAUACAUUCCAUUUUUUUUUAAGGGUACACUGACUGGGUUAUCGUUCCACUUCUCCACCCUUUUUUGCACCGACAUUUGUGCAGCUCCCCCUCACAUGAAUAUGCAUGAGGAACAGAAGUGCACUUUGCAUGUUACUGCAUAUUCAAAUUGUGCUUUUCGGCUUAUACGCCAAUUUCGUACAUAGCAUGCAAGGGAUUUGUGCAGAAUGUGGCCUAAUUACUCCUAAAAAUAGAGGCAAACAGCUUUGUAUAGCUAGUCUUUUAUGUUGUUUUGUCUUUAAUUAAUCAGCCAUCUCAUGGAAAUAAUGUUAAGUGAAGAUAACAAGGCAGAAUUCCUUAAAAUUCGAAUUUAUGAAACAACUGAAGAAGAAUCAAGCAGAUAAAAUAAGAUGUUAAUAAGAUACAUUUUUACAUUUCAUUUUUUAAAUUGCUUCUUACUCAGAAUUGUUUAGUAAUUACCACUAGGGAUUAUUAAUGUUGAUAAAACAUCAAGCUGGCAAAAAUUCUUGUUGUCAGUUCUAUUUCUCAUGUCAUGGUGACUCAGUGUGAUGGCAUAAUGAAUAGACAAUAAUUAAUUGAUCUUAUAAAGUCAGAUAUGAAUAAAUAUAAGAAAAUGAUGGUAAAGUCAUAAAAAAAACAAUAUACUACUAAAAUAGUAUUUUUAUGCCUACAAAUACCUUCAUAUACCUAUAUAACAUUAAUUCAGAUAGACACGGUAAUGUUUCAGCUCAAUGUGCAGCUAUUGAGUUGAUGAUGAAGAAGGAUAUUAACUCCUCUGCCUCCACAGAUGGCUUAAUAAACGGUAGCUUCUGCUCUCUGAAAUAGCCGCGCACAGCAUAUUUCUGACUCCAUUUCAAGUGGCACUGGAAAGAAAUUCCCCCCAAAGCCAUCUUUCCCAAGUCAAUCAACCAAGCCAUUGUUUCCAUUUCUCAUUCCUUUAGCAGAGCCCAUUACUAAAUGCUUUACAACACGCCGUCAUGCUGACAGUCCUCAGGGAUUGGAUGAUAUGAAUCAGCUUGAAACAGUGUGCACAAUCGAGUCAGCAGAAAUGGUAGAAUUCCUACUUCAUGUUAGUGAGAUAUGAGACUAGACGUUCCCCAGGAGCAAACAAACAAGUCACUGAUGGGAAUUAUUGUCUCUACAUGACCCAGGAAUGAAAACCAACAAGACACUCAUUCAGUUUUGUGUACUUGCUUGUUUGUGUUUGUCUAUGUACGUGUUUACUUAUUAUUAUUUUUUUGCUUGCUGGUCUGUUUGUGGUUCUUCUUCUUCUUCUUCUUCUAUUUUAUUUCAUUUUAUUUCAUUUUAUUUCAAUUCAGUUCUUGUGGGCAUGGAAGAGGUACCAUCACAGAGCACAAUCACACACACACGCACACACCCAUUCACAUAUCCAUUCACAUAAUAUGGACAAUUUAGUGAUGUCAAUCAGCCUACAGCACAUGUCUUUGGACUGGGAGAGAAAACCUGAGUACCCAGAGGAAACCCCCAAAGCACGGGGAGAACAUGCAGACUCCAUGCACACAGGGCAGAGGCGGGAAUCAAAUCUUCAGCCCGAAAACAGAAGGUGUUUUUUUAUUUUGUUUUUAGUUUUUGUUUGAUUGUUUCUUUGAUUGCUUGUUGUUGCUGUUGUUUUUGUUGUUCUUCUUCUGUUAUCAUUUUAUUUUAUUAUUAUGAUUUUUUUUUCUUAAGGAGUUUCUUGAGUAUGGCCUAAACCAGAAGUUGUUCACAAUAGUUUUCAUUUUCUUUUCAUUUAAUUCAUACAAAUAAUAUAUAAAUAAAAACCAA